GAGGCUGCGCAGGGCAGUUAAAGGCAAUUUAAAGCACCGGGGACAAGACAGAUAUCUGGUUUGCUAGGAAGGUCAGGUGGAUUUUGAUGGAAGUAGUUUUAGUGAAGUAUACAGCAGAAUGGGCUUUGGCAUCCUGAGCUUGGGAGGAUGGGGAUCCCCAGCCAACCUGAGUGGGGGGCUGCAGAAGGGGGGCGGCAGGGGAAGGAUGCAGAAGAUCCCCAGGAGAGCCUCUGCUCACAGCCCCCUGCUGACUUCGGUGGCUGUUUCUGCCAGCUCUGGGACCGACCAGAUGCUUUCUGGGUGUUUGCAAACCCUCUUCUGCUCCCUUAACCUCCUUUCCUCGGCUAUGGAUUAGAGUGAGCAGAAACUACCUGUCUGCUUCUCCCUCACCGACUUCUCGUCUUCGCUGUGCAAAAACCAUUAUUGGUUUUUAAAUGGUGAGGCUGUAAGUGCUGUGCAGCCAGGAUUGCAGCUCCUCUUCAGGUUCGUUAAGGAGCAGCCGUGUCCGGGGCAUUGCUGUGCCGUUUGCUGCAGGAGUGAGUGUCCAGUGUCAGCAUCUCCAUUGAGUCACCAUCCACUUCCAUGGCUUUUUGAUCUGACAGGAAGAUAAACAUCUCUCUGAGCUAAAAAUCUUCCCAUCUGAAACUCUAGAAUACUCAAUUACCAUGCGGCAAAUAUAUUUUAUAUAGCCAUUACAAAUAAUUUAGCCACCGCAAUAUGGCAGUUUAAUUUCUGUUAUUAAUCUCAAUCAUUUUGCAUGAGAGAGAGAAGUGCCUCAGCGUGAUCUCAAGGGGACGCUUCAUCUCCUUCUGUGUGGCUACAGGUGAAGCCUGCACAAUACUUUUCUGUGUCAAAAUGAGUUUUGCAGGCAGCUGGCCUGAAUUAAAGCACCAAAGCGGAUACACGGAAACUUUGCUUGCAUUUUGUGUAUGAACUUAAUGUGUCCUAAUGCGAAUUACUUUUAAAGUAUCUUACCUUCAAGCACAGAAGAGGGGAAAAGGAAAUAAACCCACCCACCCAUGUCCGUGCAGUCCUGCUGAGCUCAUACUUUGCUGCUUCUUUCCUUUUUUAGUUUAUAAAUGUCAGCACUUUCCGUUCCCAUGGGAACCUUGUCUUUUCCCUUGCCAUUCGCUGCAUUGGAGAUGCUGGGACCAGGGGCUGGGGCUGGGGCUGCUCUGUGCUGCCCGGCGCUGGCUGCUGCCUCAGCUGUCACCGCCUGUCCCCAGCUCUGCCCACCCUGAGCACAGCAAGAGCACGGCUCAGCUGUGGCCGGCACAGGGGAUAACCUUGGGAAGGGGCUGAGGAGCUGGUCUCAAACCAGUAUGGGACCCAUCAGCUCUCCUUAAAGUUCCCAACGACCUUGUAGGAGAGUUCAGGAUCCCCCCAGAAUGGAGGGAAACGUGGCGGAUAUGUGAGCACUAUGGUGAAAUGUCUUUCUGGUGAUGGGACUCAGUCUCUUGGAUUAAAAACCUUUUUGCUGCUGUUACAAA